rnacentral:rRNA from 1 species
CUUCCGUAGGUGAACCUGCGGAGGGAKCAUUACUGAGUUUACAACUCCCAAACCCCUGUGAACAUACCUAUGUUGCUUCGGCGGGCCGUCCCGCGGCGCGCCCACGUGGCGUGACCCGGAACCAGGCGCCCGCCGGGGACCCAAACUCUUGCCUUUUUAGUGUCUCCUCUGAGUGGCAUAAGCAAAAAUAAACAAAACUUUCAGCAACGGAUCUCUUGGUUCUGGCAUCGAUGAAGAACGCAGCGAAAUGCGAUAAGUAAUGUGAAUUGCAGAAUUCAGUGAAUCAUCGAAUCUUUGAACGCACAUUGCGCCCGCCAGUAUUCUGGCGGGCAUGCCUGUCUGAGCGUCAUUUCAACCCUCAGCCCCCGUUCGCGGGGCGCUGGCGUUGGGGAUCGGCCGUCCUCGCGGCGGCCGGCCCCGAAACACAGUGGCGGUCUCCUGCAGACUCCCCUGCGUAGUAGCACUACCUCGCAGAAGGGACGAGCGGGCUGGCCACGCCGUAAAACCCCCAACUUCUCCAGGUUGACCUCAGAUCAGGUAGGAAUMCGYCSCUGAACUUAAGCAUAUCAAUAAGCGGAGGAA